rnacentral:rRNA from 1 species
CAGCCGCCGCGGGAAAACGAAGGGGGCUAGCGUUGCUCGGAAUCACUGGGCGUAGAGGGUGCGUAGGCGGGUCUUUAAGUCAGGGGUGAAAUCCUGGAGCUCAACUCCAGAACUGCCUUUGAUACUGAAGAUCUUGAGUUCGGGAGAGGUGAGUGGAACUGCGAGUGUAGAGGUGAAAUUCGUAGAUAUUCGCAAGAACACCAGUGGCGAAGGCGGCUCACUGGCCCGAUACUGACGCUGAGGCUCGAAAGCGUGGGGAGCAAACAGGAUUAGAUACCCGCGUAGUCCCUGUCUCUUAUAC